rnacentral:rRNA from 1 species
UACGUAGGGUGCAAGCGUUGUCCGGAAUUAUUGGGCGUAAAGAGCUCGUAGGCGGUUUGUCGCGUCUGCUGUGAAAUCUGGGGGCUCAACCCCCAGCCUGCAGUGGGUACGGGCAGACUAGAGUGCGGUAGGGGAGAUUGGAAUUCCUGGUGUAGCGGUGGAAUGCGCAGAUAUCAGGAGGAACACCGGUGGCGAAGGCGGGUCUCUGGGCAACAACUGACGCUGAGGAGCGAAAGCGUGGGGAGCGAACAGG